CGUAAAGAACCUGCCUCAUAGACUGGGACAACUAUUGAAACGAUAGCUAAUACCGGAUAACAGUAUUUCUCGCAUGAGAGAUAUUUAAAAGUUGGUUAUGCUAACACUAUGAGAUGGCUUUGCGGUGCAUUAGCUAGUUGGUGGGGUAAAGGCCCACCAAGGCGACGAUGCAUAGCCGACCUGAGAGGGUGAUCGGCCACACUGGGACUGAGACACGGCCCAG
rnacentral:rRNA from 1 species